UUUGGCUUAUUUUAAGUCAGAGACCAAGCGAAAGCGUUAAGCAUCCCACCUGGGGAGUACGCCGGCAACGGUGAAACUCAAAGGAAUUGACGGGGGCCCGCACAAGCGGAGGAACAUGUGGUUUAAUUCGAUGAUACGCGAGGAACCUUACCCGGGCUUGAAUUGCCAGAGACGGCUCCAGAGAUGGAGCUUCCCUUCGGGGCUCUGGUGAAGGUGCUGCAUGGUUGUCGUCAGCUCGCGCCGUGAGGUGUCGGCUUAAGUGCCAUAACGAGCGCAACCCCUUUCUUCAGUUGCCAUCGGGUAAUGCCGGGCACUCUGUAGAUACUGCCGCCGUAAGGUGUGAGGAAGGUGGGGAUGACGUCAAAUCAGCACGGCCCUUACGUCCGGGGCUACACACGUGUUACAAUGGGGGGCACAGCGAGCGGGAUGCCCGCAAGGUCAUUCAAAUCAAUAAAUCCCCCCUCAGUUCGGACUGGGGUCUGCAACACGACCCCACGAAGCUGGAUUCGCUAGUAAUCGCGCAUCAGCCAUGGCGCGGUGAAUACGUUCCCGGGCCUUGUACACACCGCCCGUCAAGCCAUGAAAGCCGGGGGUGCC
rnacentral:rRNA from 1 species